AGCGAACGCUGGCGGCAGGCUUAACACAUGCAAGUCGAACGCCCGUAGCAAUACGGGAGUGGCAGACGGGAGAGUAACACGUGGGAACGUGCCCUUCAGUUCGGAACAACCAAGGGAAACUUUGGCUAAUACCGGAUACGUCCGUAAGGAGAAAGAAUUAUCGCUGAAGGAUCGGCCCGCGUCUGAUUAGCUAGUUGGUGAGGUAACGGCUCACCAAGGCGACGAUCAGUAGCUGGUCUGAGAGGAUGAUCAGCCUCACUGGGACUGAGACACGGCCCAGACUCCUACGGGAGGCAGCAGUGGGGAAUCUUGGACAAUGGGCGCAAGCCUGAUCCAGCCAUGCCGCGUGGGUGAUGAAGGCCCUAGGGUUGUAAAGCCCUUUCGGCGGGGAAGAUAAUGACGGUACCCGCAGAAGAAGCCCCGGCUAACUUCGUGCCAGCAGCCGCCGCCGUAA
rnacentral:rRNA from 1 species